rnacentral:rRNA from 1 species
GAUGAACGCUGGCGGCGUGCCUAAUACAUGCAAGUCGAGCGAACGGACGAGAAGCUUGCUUCUCUGAUGUUAGCGGCGGACGGGUGAGUAACACGUGGAUAACCUACCUAUAAGACUGGGAUAACUUCGGGAAACCGGAGCUAAUACCGGAUAAUAUUUUGAACCGCAUGGUUCAAAAGUGAAAGACGGUCUUGCUGUCACUUAUAGAUGGAUCCGCGCUGCAUUAGCUAGUUGGUAAGGUAACGGCUUACCAAGGCAACGAUGCAUAGCCGACCUGAGAGGGGGAUCGGCCAAGAUGGAACGGAGACAGGCUCAGAAACCGGAGGGGAGACACAGGAGGGAAAUGUUCCGAAAGGGGGAAAGGGCGGGGGGGGCAACCCGCGGGGAGGAAUAAAGUGUUAGGGAACGUAAAACUUUUUUAUUGGGAAAAAACAUAUUGUAAAGUAACGGGAAAAAUUUUGAGGGAACUAAACAAAAAAGCAGGGGUAAACAAGGU